rnacentral:rRNA from 1 species
GAUGAACGCUGGCGGCGUGCCUAAUACAUGCAAGUCGAACGCGAGCACUUGUGCUCGAGUGGCGAACGGGUGAGUAAUACAUAAGUAACCUGCCCUAGACAGGGGGAUAACUAUUGGAAACGAUAGCUAAGACCGCAUAGGUACGGACACUGCAUGGUGACCGUAUUAAAAGUGCCUCAAAGCACUGGUAGAGGAUGGACUUAUGGCGCAUUAGCUGGUUGGCGGGGUAACGGCCCACCAAGGCGACGAUGCGUAGCCGACCUGAGAGGGUGACCGGCCACAUUGGGACUGAGACACGGCCCAA